rnacentral:lncRNA from 1 species
CUCCGCUAACUUCUCUUCCAGUUUCUUGUCAAUCUCAUUCAGCUUCUCUAGCAGUAUAUCAUCCCUCUCCUUCAUGUCAUCAAACUCGUCCUCCUCGUCCUCAUCAUCCUCAUCCUCCUUGCCCCCAUCAUCCUCAUCCUCCUUGCCCUCAACAUCCACACCUGGUGUUUUUUUCUUUUGCUUUUCAGAUUCAGCAUCUUCUAAGGCAUGGCCACCUGGUGCCACUCCUGCACGCUGAAAAAAUCCAUAAUU